AACAUACUCCCUUCGUCCGGAAAUACUUUUCCUAAAAAUGGAUAUAAUAAAUGUAUCUAUAACUAAAAUAAGUCUAGAUUCAUCCAUUUUUAGGACAAAUAUUUUUGGACGGAGGGAGUAUAUU
rfam:Hordeum vulgare subsp. vulgare, WGS project CAJW01000000 data, contig: morex_contig_80942